AGAACUUGAAACCGUGUGCUUACAAGUAGUCAGAGCCCGUUAAUGGGUGAUGGCGUGCCUUUUGUAGAAUGAACCGGCGAGUUACGAUCUGAUGCAAGGUUAAGCAGAAAAUGUGGAGCCGUAGCGAAAGCGAGUCUGAAUAGGGCGAAUGAGUAUUUGGUCGUAGACCCGAAACCAGGUGAUCUACCCUUGGUCAGGUUGAAGUUCAGGUAACACUGAAUGGAGGACCGAACCGACUUACGUUGAAAAGUGAGCGGAUGAACUGAGGGUAGCGGAGAAAUUCCAAUCGAACUUGGAGAUAGCUGGUUCUCUCCGAAAUAGCUUUAGGGCUAGCCUCAAGUGAUGAUUAUUGGAGGUAGAGCACUGUUUGGACGAGGGGCCCCUCUCGGGUUACCGAAUUCAGACAAACUCCGAAUGCCAAAUAAUUUAACUUGGGAGUCAGAAUGUGGGUGAUAAGGUCCAUAUUCGAAAGGGAAACAGCCCAGACCACCAGCUAAGGUCCCAAAAUAUAUGUUAAGUGGAAAAGGAUGUGGCGUUGCCCAGACAACUAGGAUGUUGGCUUAGAAGCAGCCAUCAUUUAAAGAGUGCGUAAUAGCUCACUAGUCGAGUGACACUGCGCCGAAAAUGUACCGGGGCUAAACAUAUUACCGAAGCUGUGGAUUGUCCUUUGGACAAUGGUAGGAGAGCGUUCUAAGGGCGUUGAAGCAUGAUCGCAAGGACAUGUGGAGCGCUUAGAAGUGAGAAUGCCGGUGUGAGUAGCGAAAGACGGGUGAGAAUCCCGUCCACCGAUUGACUAAGGUUUCCAGAGGAAGGCUCGUCCGCUCUGGGUUAGUCGGGUCCUAAGCUGAGGCCGACAGGCGUAGGCGAUGGAUAACAGG
rnacentral:rRNA from 1 species